AUCGUUUAUCUAUAUAACAUGUUGAUUAAAAACUAUAAUUACAAUAAUAGUUGAAAAUAUCGAAAGGAAAAUCUUGACUUUGUAAAAUGAAUCUUACUAGUUUAGUAUUUUUGUUCAUUGUAAUAUUUCUCAAAACAAAAAUAUUGAAAGGUGAAGAUCCUUUUGAGGCGUUUUUUAUUCGUUUCCAGUGUUAUGGAGACUCGCAACCUGGCUGCACAAAGGACUUUAUUGACGAGCAUCCGGAAUUUUCACUCUCCAAUAAUGGAAUUACCAGAGCAGACACUUUUUUCUACCUAUUCACUCCAGAAAACCCAGAACAACCCGAGCUGUGGCAUAAAUGCGCUGAACUUAUACCUCCUGCUACGAAGUUUAAUCCGAAGUGCCGAACAGAAAUUGUCAUACCUGGGUGGCUUUGUGGCGCUUGCAACAUGGCUAUUUUCAGGGAAAUAAAGGAUGAAAUAUUGAAAAGGAGUGAAUGUUCCAACGUGUUUGUGAUUGAUUAUAUGUGGGGAAAUUCACUUGAUUACACAGAAACCCAUGAAAAUUUGUUAAUUCUUUCUGAUCAAAUAGCCUAUCUUGUUAGAAAACUAAAGACUACUUAUCAACUCACUCCGGAGGAUUUUACUUGCACAGGUCACAGUUUUGGUGCACAAACUUGCGGAUUGCUUGGACACAAAGAGCGUAUGGCUGUUAUAAAUGGUCUUGAUCCUGCUGGUGGGAUAGUUACAGAAAUAACACCUCUAGAUCAAAGAUUGGAUGCUGGUGACGCUGACUGCGUUCAAGUAAUUCACUCAAAUGGAGGGCAAUGUUUUCCUGAAUUUGUUGGAUGUAAUUUUACCUGUGGCACCGUUGACAUAUGGCCGAAUGGAGGUCUGCUCCAGCCUGAAGAGCUUUGCCGUCAAGAGACGUUAACUGCCAUUGCCAAGCAAGAUUAUUUUUAUGCUUUUUUAAACAUCAUUGCUUGCUCCCAUCUCGAAGCUCUGCAGUUUUACAAGGCUUCCAUCAGUGCUGAGGAUGCCAAAUUUGUAGCAGUUAGAUGUCAGAACUAUCGACAAUUUCAGAGGGGAAAUUGCCCAAAUUGUGGAAAGAAUGGAGACAAAUGUGUUGAGAUGGGCCCGGAUUGUUGCAGCUGCUUGAAACCAAAUCAGAGAAGAAAUGGCGGAUCGAAAAAUUUCUACUUGAAUACGAAUGAUUCUUGCCCAUAUAUAGAUAACUCUGAUAUAAAUGCUGAAAAUUUUCAAUGCUAGGGAGUAAAGAAUGUUGAACAAGAAACUUUUUGUAGAUUGAUAAUGAACUACGUUAAAGUUGCUUUGAUUUCGACCGGGCUUCUUGCCGGGUCGGCUACGUUUGCAUAUCUCUACAGGAAAUGGAAACAAAACUGUGAUGAUGACACACAGGAUCCUGUUGAUAUUCCUAACAACCGUGACGUUGCUAAUCGUCACGAAUCUUAUGUUCUUGUUCCGCUUAAAUCAAUGCAGUCAACGGAACAAAUUUUGCGAGAUAUUCGCACCAUAUUGGAUGAUGCCAAAUCAAGAUUAAACUCAAGACUUUAAAGCCUUUACACAAAUCUGAGCCAACUUUUUUGAAGAAGUUAUUUUCUACUGUGAACUUGGUACUACAAUCUGUAAGAAAUACUUUUAAUUGAAACCACAACUAUACCUGAAGCAAAUUUUAAUGACAUGAAAAGACUCUUAUAAAGAAAGUGAUGCAUCUUCCUCAAGAGGAGCGGUUCUUCUCCCGCAACGCCUCACCUGUUCUCUGCCGAGAAAUUUUCAUUUGCCAAGAAGUCGAUUAGUCUGCGACUUCCGAAUUCGGAGAUUGACUUUCACAAUGACUUAUAAACAAAGGAACUUCUUUUGGAUCUCUCGCCUCCUUCUCUAGCCAGAAAGAAGUCAGCGUUUCAAUUAUUUCCUCCAAGGACAACUUCGACCUGGAUCGUCUGCGACCUCUUGAUAACUCACAGAUUCUAUCUUGCCUUGAACGAUGGAUUAUAAAUGAAGAUCAGCAUCUCCUUUUAGUUCUCUUGCCUCCUUCUCUAGCCAGAAAGGAGUCAGCGCUUCAAAGAUUUCUCACAAGAAAAAUUUCAGUCUGGAUCGUCUGUGACCCCUAGAUGACUCACAGAUUCCAUCAUGCCUUGAACGAUGGGUUUUAAAUGAAGAUCAGCAUCUCCUUUUGACUCUCUUGCCUCCUUCUCUAGCCAGAAAGGAGUCAGCACUUCAAUGAUUUCUUACAAGAACUUCAGUCUGGAUCGUCUGCGACCCCCAGAUA